CUUGAACGCUGGCGGCAGGCCUAACACAUGCAAGUCGAACGAGUGGCGGACGUGUGAGUAAUGUCUGGGAAACUUCCUGAUGGAGGGGGAUAACUACUGGAAACGGUAGCUAAUACCGCAUACCAUCAGAUGUGCCCAGGUGGGAUUAGCUUGUUGGUGGGUUAACGGCUCACCAAGGCGACGAUCCCUAGCUGGUCUGCGAGGCUGACCAGCAACACUGGAACGGAGACACGGAGCGGACUCCUACGGUAGGCAGCAGUGGGGAAGACUGGAAGAUGGGCGCAAGCGUGAUGCAGCCAUGCGGCGUGUAUGACGAGGGGCUGCGGGUUGUAGAGUACUUUAAGCGGGGAGGCGUGACCCGCAAAAGAAGCACCGGCUAACUCCGGGCCAGCAGCCGCGGUAAUAC
rnacentral:rRNA from 1 species